ACGUGGAUAAUCUGCCCUCAGAUGAAGAAUAAUCCCGGGAAACUGGGGCUAAUGCUUCAUAGGAGACGGGUGCUGGAAUGCUCUGUCUCUGAAAGGUCCGCCGUCUGAGGAUGAGUCUGCGUCCGAUUAGGUUGUUGUUGGGGUAACGGCCCACCAAGCCUUUGAUCGGUACGGGUUGUGGGAGCAAGAGCCCGGAGAUGGAUUCUGAGACAUGAAUCCAGGCCCUACGGGGCGCAGCAGGCGCGAAAACUUUACAAUGCGAGCAAUCGUGAUAAGGAAACCCUGAGUGCCUGUUAUCGCAGGCUGUUCUGGUGUCUAACACACACCAGGAGAAAGGGCGGGGCAAGACCGGUGCCAGCCGCCGCGGUAAUACCGGCUGCUCGAGUGAUAGCCACUUUUACUGGGCUUAAAGCGUUCGUAGCUUGGUCGUUAAGUCUCUGGGGAAAUCUUUUGGCUCAACCAAAAGGCGUCUCAGGGAAACUGGCGACCUAGGAACCGGGAGAGGUAAGACGUACUUCGGGGGUAGGAGUGAAAUCUUGUAAUCCCCGAGGGACGACCGAUGGCGAAGGCAUCUUACCAG
rnacentral:rRNA from 1 species